rnacentral:tRNA from 1 species
AAGUUAAAUUAAACUAGUAGUCUUCAACAUUAUUUAUAAAGAUCUUUUCUUUAAGCCUUAGUAAAUUU